GUGGCGAACGAAAAGGAAGGAGCCCAGCGCAGAACGUUCCGGGGCACUCGCCCUGAGAAUGAAUGUUGCGUUAAGGAUAUUGGCAUACACCCAUGGCAGUUACACUUUGCUAAGUCAGCCUCGAAUGGUUCUCGUGAAGCCGGUAACACGGUGAGACUCCAGGGAGGGUGUUAGACCCGUGUGAAGGUGCAAUCUGCUUGGGCAAGCCGAUAUCCCGAGAGUCGCGUUGUUUGAACAUGCAGCGCUAAGCAGGUCGUAGACUCGAUCUAAGGCUAAAUAUGUCCACAGAACCGAUAGUUAACAAGUACCGUGAGGGAAAGUUGAAAAGCACUCCGUAACGGAGAGUCAAAAGACCGUGAAACCACUCAGAGUAUAAGCCAAUGGUGUCUGGAAGGUCCUGUGCUUACAUCUUGGUGUCAAGGACUCAUGCGAACCUCAGCACUUGCGGGAGCAAUCUCCGUUGCUUUGGUAAGCUUGUCCGCUGAAGCACUCCGUUGACCCACCUGGCUCGUUGUGAGGUGUCCUGAGAGCAAAGCGAAGUGUUAAGAUUGGCUUGGAGUUGGGCGUGGGCGUCUCGAUGCCUUUCGCACUCUCCUUUUCGAGCACUUCUUCAGUUCUAUUCGCACAAAGUGUGGUAGUCUUGGAGUGUGCGCUGCUUGACGCUCUCUGGAACCAUCCUCUGCGACGAAGCUUCAAUGCCUUAGUGAGCGGCCGUCUUCCUCCUCGGGAGUCGGUACAUUGGCGCGGCUUGCACACUGUCGGUGCUCCGCUGUUCAACUCUGGCGCAAGGUGUUACGUCCGAUACCAUUGGUCACGUCUCGAAACACGGGCCAAGGAGUAUAGCGUGUGUGCAAGUCUAAGGGUUCCACAAAACCUGGAGGCGUAGUGAAAGCGAGUUAUGGUGUCUCACUGGACUGAUGGAGAAGGCAGUGAUGCGUGAUCCCGCAAGUCCCGGACUCGUCGUCUGCACUGCUUCGGUUGUGUUAGCGCGAGCACCGCAGAGCACAUACGCUAUGACCCGAAAGAUAGUGAACUAUGCUUGGCGAGGGUGAAGCCCCAGGAAACUGGGGUGGAGGCCCGUAGCCGUUGUGACGUGCAAAUCCA
rnacentral:rRNA from 1 species